GACGAACGCUGGCGGCGUGCUUAACACAUGCAAGUCGUACGGUAAGGCCCUUUCGUUGGUCCUCGAGUGUCGGACGGGGGCGUAACACGUACGUAACCUUCCCCCACCUUUAGGAUAACGCUAGGAAACUGAUGCUAAUGCUGAUAAUGUGCUCCUUCUUCAUGGUCGUGGUUGGAAAGUUCCGGCGGUUGUGGAUGUACUCGCGGCCUAUCAGCUUGUUGGGGGGGUAGUGGCCUACCGAGGCGGCGUCGGGUGGCCGGCCUGAGUGGGUGACCGGCCACAGUGGGACUGAGAUACGGCCCAGACGCCUACGGGAGGGAGCAGGGGGGAAUAUUGCACGAUGGGCGCAAGGCGGAUGCAGCAAGGCCGCGUGCGGGAGGACGGUCUUAGGGUUGUAAACCGCGUUCAGCAGGGACGAAGCAUUUUGUGACGGUACCUGCAGAAGAAGCACCGGCUAACUACGUG
rnacentral:rRNA from 1 species